GAGUUUGAUCCUGGCUCAGGAUGAACGCUAGCGGCAGGCCUAACACAUGCAAGUCGAGGGGCAGCAUAGAUUGCUUGCAAUCUGAUGGCGAUCGGCGCACGGGUGCGUAACGCGUAUGAAACCUACCUAAUACAGGGGGAUAGCCCAGAGAAAUUUGGAUAAUACCCCAUGGUACUGUGGUCUCGCAUGAGAUUAUAGUUAAAGAUUUAUCGGUAUUAGAUGGUCAUGCGUCCUAUUAGUUAGUUGGUAAGGUAACGGCUUACCAAGACUUCGAUAGGUAGGGGCCCUGAGAGGGGGAUCCCCACACUGGUACUGAGACACGGACCAGACUCCUACGGGAGGCAGCAGUGAGGAAUAUUGGACAAUGGAGGCAACUCUGAUCCAGCCAUGCCGCGUGAAGGAAGACUGCCCUAUGGGUUGUAAACUUCUUUUAUAGAGGAAGAAACGUGAAUACGUGUAUUCAUUUGACGGUACUCUACGAAUAAGGAUCGGCUAACUCCGUGCCAGCAGCCGCGGUAAUACGGAGGAUCCAAGCGUUAUCCGGAAUCAUUGGGUUUAAAGGGUCCGCAGGCUGUUGUUUAAGUCAGAGGUGAAAGUUUGCAGCUCAACUGUAAAAUUGCCUUUGAUACUGGAUAACUUGAGUAAUAAUGAAGUGGUUAGAAUAUGUAGUGUAGCGGUGAAAUGCAUAGAUGUUACAUAGAAUACCGAUUGCGAAGGCAGAUCACUAAUUAUAUACUGACGCUGAGGGACGAAAGCGUGGGGAGCGAACAGGAUUAGAUACCCUGGUAGUCCACGCCGUAAACGAUGGUUACUAGCUGUUUGGUCGUAAGACUGAGUGGCUAAGCGAAAGUGAUAAGUA
rnacentral:rRNA from 1 species